AUGCAUGUUUGUCUUGGAGAGCUUGAAAGAGUUAUGGAUCUGCCAAGUACGUAUCGGGCUGAGGUGGAGAGCACGAGAACAAUCAUCAUUGCUGUGGCAGCCUUGCAUGCAGCCACCGCUGUCAUUUCCAUGUUACGAAAGGAGGCUGGAAACACAUUGACACAAGGCUUGGGACUCAUGUCUAUGCUCAGAUGGCAGAUGGGGAAAGCUCUGUGCACUUCAAGGAAGAGAGGGUAUUCAAGGACAUCUUCCCUUUGGAUUGAGGCUCUGUUGGGAGAGGUGACAAAGGCAGCAGUGAUGAGGGAAAAGAGGAACUUCCUGAAGGCAAAAUGCAAAUCACCUGGAAACCCUGACUUCAGCCUUUUCAUAUCUCCAUUUGACCUCUGCCACAAACCAGCUGAAGCUUGGGGAUGA
rnacentral:lncRNA from 1 species